rnacentral:rRNA from 1 species
AGCGAACGCUGGCGGCAGGCUUAACACAUGCAAGUCGAGCGGGCGUAGCAAUACGUCAGCGGCAGACGGGUGAGUAACGCGUGGGAACGUACCUUUUGGUUCGGGAUAACCCAGGGAAACUUGGGCUAAUACCGGAUAAAGCCCUUACGGGGAAAGAUUUAUCGCCGAAAGAUCGGCCCGCGUCUGAUUAGCUAGUUGGUGAGGUAACGGCUCACCAAGGCGACGAUCAGUAGCUGGUCGAGAGGAUGAUCA